GCCGGUGCCUCUGACUUCAGGAGAGCCGGUGUCUCUGACUUCAGGAGAGCCGGUGUCUCUGACUUCAGGAGAGCCGGUGUCUCUGACUUCAGGAGAGCCGGUGCCUCUGACUUCAGGAGAGCCGGUGUCUCUGACUUCAGGAGAGCCGGUGUCUCUGACUCCCAGGAGAGCCGGUGUCUCUGACUCCCAGGAGAGCCGGUGUCUCUGACUCCCAGGAGAGCCGGUGCCUCUGACUCCCAGGAGAGCCGGUGCCUCUGACUUCAGGAGAGCCGGUGCCUCUGACUUCAGGAGAGCCGGUGCCUCUGACUUCAGGAGAGCCGGUGCCUCUGACUUCAGGAGAGCCGGUGCCUCUGACUUCAGGAGAGCCGGUGCCUCUGACUCCCAGGAGAGCCAGUGUCUCUGACUUCAGGAGAGCCGGUGCCUCUGGCUUCCACAGGUCCCUGCACUCCUUUGCACAAUACCUGUCCUCCUACUUAUUCACAAUAUUAAAAAUAAUCUUAAAAGUAAUUUUGAAUUAAUUCAUGAAAUUACAGAUGGCUUUUUGGCUUAUUUGGAGUAGAGGACAACCCUAUAUGACAUGAUAUUAAAAUUUGACAUGUGUGUAUGGGGGACACUGGACACCCUGCAGGGCUUGGUGCCAGAAUUCAAAAAGGGACAUACAGUUGGUCUUCAUGGGAGUGCCUGGUAGCUCACCACAUGCCUUUCCAUGGAGUCUGAGUGUGUCACCCAGAAUUGAAAAGUUGUAAACAUGCCUCCAUUCCUCUACAUUGUUGGGCCAGUUUUUCACAUGCCUGCCUUACCGUAGUAGACAGUAAGUUGUUUGGAUAGAAACAGUUAUUUCCCACUAGUUACUGGUCUUAGGAAACUAUGCCAGAGGUGUUCAAAUGGCAACAAGGGAAUAAAUGAUUUAAGGAAAGUUGAACAAAUGAUGCAAACUCAAAAGACUAAACCUGUCCUGACAGAAAAGUUCAUCUCCAUUGAUUCAGUCCAAUUGACUCGCCAAAUCAGUGUUUUGGAGGAUUCUAGAUUUCCUAGGUUCUCACUCAUCCUUCCUUUCAGGGAGUUACUCCUGCCCUGGGGUAGGGUGGUUUUUCUUCUCAGCCACAUGAAGUUAUACCGUGAUGUUUGGAAAUGGGGCAGCCUGGACGAAGUGCACCCUAGCUUACCCAGGAUUCCAGGUAAAAGCCAUUGGCAAAAGCUGCGCUACUGUGGUGCUAAAUUCUUUCCACAGGCAAAUUAUCCCCACUGUAGAACAAUCCAGAGUUAAAGAUCAUCUUGGCAUGACGUUCCCAGAGAGGGUCAUUUCCCUCGCAAAUGUUUCACACUGAGAGCCCUGGCCUCACUUUCUGGUUGCGUUUUCUCCCUCAGGACCCACAUCCGCAAUGCCUGCCCUUCGUACCUCCUGCUUCCCAGUAGGAUUUGGAAGAGGCAAAUCAGGAAGACACCACCCAGUCAGUUCGGAGGGCUAGCUAUCUGUAAGAGCAUGGAGACAUUGAGUCACCUUGUAGGUCUUUCUCCAAAUGCUGGUGUCAUCACGACCGAGGGCAGGCAGGCUGGUUCCUGGAAUGCAUGAAUUGGACUGGGGGACCUGUCUGUCAUCUGCCUUCAAGGAGCCUGUGGUGUGCUGAGGAAGUCACAAUGAACAAGUUUUUGAAGAAUGGAGAGUGCUCAGAAGGGACACAUGAAGGCUGCUUUCACACGGGACACUAGGCGAGGUUGAGGAACGAUGGAAAACUGUAGUUUGGAGUUGGCUGAGAGAAGGUAGAGGAAGAAAAUCAUUCCAGAUGAAAAGGAGUCCACAGGGCUGGUGUACUCUGCAUGACUGAAGUAACAUAAAGCCAGGAGAGAUCCUGAGAGUCACAUGAGGACUCAGGAUCUGAUAUCUAAGCCACCAGUGAGUUCUGAAGGGUUGUUACUGGAGGAGCGAUCUGAUAAGAUUUAUUCAUUCCUAAUGCCUUCCAUUUUCCCCAUGGCCCCUUGACAGCUACAAUCAUGGGAUUCCUUUUGUGUCACCUCAGGGGUUCCCUCAAGGUUCUCAAAGCCUUCUCAGUGUGUUCUGUGUCCCAUGAAGCUUCUAAAGCAGAGAAUAGCUCUGAUGUUCAACUGGAAAAAUAAAAGAAGGUGAAGGUGGACAUCCAUGUACAUCUUGCCUCUCCUGCUCAUGCUGUGCAUCAUAUGUCACGCAGCCAGUCAGAGCAAAACCAUCGCACAGUCCAGAAGUGAGAAAGAAAGCAUGUGAGGUGCUCAAAAAACCAAAUAAUUCUUUCCCUAAAAUACUCCUUCACUGUAGGAAAGAAUAUCUGUUUUUCGUUUUCACUUGAGAAAACAGAAAUCUAUUUCAUGACUGGGUUACAUUUGGAGGACUUUAGAUAAAUUAUUGAUUAACUUGAAGUUUCUGAAGGGACACAGUCCAUCAUGGCAGGGAAGGCAGAAGCAGGAUGAUCACGUUUCAUCUGCACACAAGAACCAGAGACAAUGGGCAGGGGGCAGCCUAUAAAACGUCAAAGCCCACCUUGAGUAACGUACUUCCUCCAGAAGGCUCCACCUCCUAAAUGUUACAUAGGCUUCCCAAAGAGCACCACUAACUGGGGACUGAAUGUUCAAAUACAGACCUAUGGGGGAAGCCUAUAACAUGUUUCCAUGAAUGCAUGUAUGUGCAUCUAUUCUUGUGCAUGUGACUGGUCCCCGUUGCUUACUGUAAGAAAUGGGGACCAGUCAAGUGCACCCUUUAUUAUGAUAAGCAAUGACACAGUGACAGAGCAUGGCCAGGAUUCCUGUCAUCCCGGAUAUGCCAGGUAGCAUCCAUGAUCAUGGAAUGACUUCUUCUGUUAGGACACUCAAAGUCUGCAGAGACAUAGAGCAUGUGCAUGAUGAUGGCAGGCAUGGGCUCAUCAAGCUAUAAAGGGAAACUUAACACAAGCUUGCCACACACUGCUGAUUAUCCCAUGGGAUCCCAAGGGAACGACUUUCAGCACAAGAUAGUGAAGGUGUGGACAUGGAACCAAGUGCUGGCCAGUGUCAAGAAUGCAAUAUGAGCUUCUCUCCGCUCAGGGGCCUCUAAUGUGAGAUCUCAAUUGUCCCCCCGCCCCAUUCACUGUGUCUGAGAGAUGAUGAGCCAAAGAUGAAAGCAGAAGGUCGAGCAUGGCAAACUAUUGUUGUGAUCUCUUCUUCUACCUCCCCCGCUUUGACCCCAAAUAGAAGGGGUGCCACCAGGUCAGGCACAAUUUUCAGAAUUUUUAAACUUUGAGUAUAAGUCAUUUAGUAUUUCAAGGCUUUUUCUCUCCCUUUCCCCAUUAUUAUAAUUUUCCUUUUCAUUUUGAUUCAAUACCUUUAGGAGAUAACAUAUCAGCAAGAAUGAUUUUACUGGUUGACCUGAGAGAAGGUGGGGGGUGGCGAGGAAGCAAAUAGGGAUGAAAGAGAAGGCCAUGCCACUUGCAGGACAGUAACCUGAAUGUAAAGAGAAGUACCGUUCCCUGGCCAGAGCCGGGAGCAGGUGAGGAGGGCAAGCAUACCGCAUCUACCUUGUCUUAUCUGAUAGACUCGGUUCCUCUGGAUCAGCUCAGGAGCUGAGAAACAGUUGCUGGAAUCCAAGCAAUAUGAGAAUGGUACUUAGCUCCUUGCAAGCCAUACAGGGACUUUUGUGCUAUGUCACGCAGCUUUGGAGGGCCCAGACCCUUGUUUAAGUGGUCAUGGCUUCUGCAUCCCCAUGAAUGUGGUGUUUCAUUUUCCGAGAGAGACCAAAUAACAUUCUUCAUUAGGAGUCUAUAUUUCAGGCCGGGUAUUGAAUAAUUACAGGCCCGCUGAAAGCUCCCAAGAAGAGUUUACCCUCCACUACACAGCUUGGCUGGCGCUCCCAUUCCAGCUACUUUAAGCUCUUGUAAACAGCAUUCGUUUUCCAUUACAAGCUAGGAAAUGUGACUGUGCGCAACAGUGCCCGGUCCCUGGAGAGCGUCUGCUCCAGAGGCCAUUUCCUCACAUCUCACUUGCCUUUGUGACUCUCCAUGGAGAGGUUGGAUAAUCUCCGAAGCUCCCCACCUUCCCAUCUGAUUGUGUUCCACCAACUUAUAAAGCGCUGACCUGCCUGAGGACGGCUGGACCAAGCAGAUGUUUCCUGAGCAAAGACACCACAGCUCCCGUAGCCUCCACUUGUGUAACAGAGUGUUGGCUGGAACAGAAGAUGUUACCCUAAACACAGUGGGCUUUUACCAGGUAAGUGUUGCGCCCUUACCUGUUUGCAGUGUGUUAGGAUUUCCAGGAAGACAAGCUUCAGUUAUUUUUGUACUUCUCCAUCUGACAACCCUCUGAGACUCCAGUUCCUUGCAGACUUUGUUUCCUUCUACCCACCAUGUAUUUUCUCUUCUAUAGAUAACUUGUCAAAGAGUGCAUUAGCUCCAUUAGCUGAAUCAAGUUGUCCUCACUGGGAUUACCUGUCUCAUGUUCACCAAGAUGUCUAAGGAAACAGCUGACUCAGUACCUAAGCUGGUCAUUGGCUACAUAGACAAACACAAUGUUAUCCUCUACCUCUUAUAGCUAAUGGUAUAGUAUUUGAAUUUUAAUAAUUGUGUAUAGACUCUGUAGUUGUAAUUAGUAGUGAGCAUACAGAAAUUACUUGUAAAAAGUGUCAGGCUUAAUAAGCAGCUACAGCAAAAGUUUAUUAUAAAAUCUAGGUCAUGGUGCAUAUGGGUAUUUACUAUGCAGUUCUUUUAACUUGCCAUAUGUUUUAAAUUUACCAUAAGAAAAUAUUGGAUAAAAUUUCUCUCUCCUUUAUAAAGUCUAUUUCAUUUAGUCUUCAUUCAUGGAACUAUGCACCCCACCCUCUUUGCAAUGCUCCCUUUGCUUUCUCAGAAUUUCAGGAUAUCUCUGUCUCUUUCCAGGGUUUCUGUGAGAAACUGCAUGUCCUUGAAAAGACAGUGGAACCAGGAGCCUGGAGCCUUUGAACUUUGUGUUUCCAGAGAAGUCACAGAGUAUUACCAGAUCUUACCUUUCUUAUCCCUAAAUUGGGGCAUGACCACACUUACAUCCCCAUUUAUUAUUUACACAAAUAAAUAAUGAACUUAA